UACCAGCACCCCGAGUGGUCGGGACGAUUAUUGGGCCUAAAGCAUCCGUAGCCGGUCAUGCAAGUCUUCCGUUAAAUCCAGCCGCUCAACGGUUGGGCUGCGGAGGAUACUACGUGGCUAGGAGGCGGGAGAGGCAAGCGGUACUCAGUGGGUAGGGGUAAAAUCCUUUGAUCCGUUGAAGACCACCAGUGGCGAAGGCGGCUUGCCAGAACGCGCUCGACGGUGAGGGAUGAAAGCUGGGGGAGCAAACCGG
rnacentral:rRNA from 1 species